AUUGAACGCUGGCGGCACGCCUAACACAUGCAAGUCGAGCGGCAGCGCGAUAUGUAGCAAUACAUAUUGGCGGCGAGCGGCGGACGGGUGAGGAACACGUAGGAACCUACCCUCGAGUGGGGGAUAACCAAGGGAAACUUUGGCUAAUACCGCAUGAUUUCGAGAGAGAAAAGCUGCCGCAAGGUGGCGCUCGAGGAGGGGCCUGCGUCCGAUUAGCUAGGUGGUGAGGUAAGAGCUCACCAAGGCGAUGAUCGGUAACUGGUCUGAGAGGACGACCAGUCACACUGGGACUGAGACACGGCCCAGACUCCUACGGGAGGCAGCAGUGGGGAAUAUUGGACAAUGGGGGCAACCCUGAUCCAGCGAUGCCGCGUGAGUGAAGAAGGCCUUCGGGUCGUAAAGCUCUUUAGGUUGGGAAGAAGAGUGAUGGAGGAAACGCUAUCACUUUGACGGUACCGACAGAAUAAGCACCGGCAAACUCUGUGCCAGACGCCGCUGUAAGAC
rnacentral:rRNA from 1 species